AGUGAACGCUGGCGGUAGGCCUAACACAUGCAAGUCGAACGGCAGCACAGGAGAGCUUGCUCUCUGGGUGGCGAGUGGCGGACGGGUGAGGAAUACAUCGGAAUCUACUUUUUCGUGGGGGAUAACGUAGGGAAACUUACGCUAAUACCGCAUACGACCUACGGGUGAAAGCAGGGGAUCUUCGGACCUUGCGCGAUUGAAUGAGCCGAUGUCGGAUUAGCUAGGUGGCGGGGUAAAGGCCCACCAAGGCGACGAUCCGUAGCUGGUCUGAGAGGAUGAUCAGCCACACUGGAACUGAGACACGGUCCAGACUCCUACGGGAGGCAGCAGUGGGGAAUAUUGGACAAUGGGCGCAAGCCUGAUCCAGCCAUACCGCGUGGGUGAAGAAGGCCUUCGGGUUGUAAAGCCCUUUUGUUGGGAAAGAAAUCCAGCUGGUUAAUACCCGGUUGGGAUGACGGUACCCAAAGAAUAAGCACCGGCUAACUUCGUGCCAGCCGCCGCCGUAA
rnacentral:rRNA from 1 species